rnacentral:rRNA from 1 species
ACACGACUACAUUAGAUACCCCCGGUAGUCCUAGCCGUAAACGAUACUCGCUAGGUGUCGGCCACGGUGCGACCGUUGUCGGUGCCGUAGGGAAGCCGUGAAGCGAGCCACCUGGGAAGUACGGCCGCAAGGCUGAAACUUAAAGGAAUUGGCGGGGAGCACAACAACGGGCGGAGCUUGCGGUUUAAUUGGACUCAACGCCGGAAACUCAUCGGGAGCGACAGCAGUAUGAUUGCCAGGUUGAUGACCUUGCUUGACAAGCUG